rnacentral:lncRNA from 1 species
UUUUUUGAGCCGCGUGAUCUCCGUCACGAGAUUCGUGUUUCUUUCCGUCCUUUGUUGACGCUGACUUUUCUUAUCGGGUCCGCUUCGUUCGGCUCCGCUCGCUAUCCCGCGCCAGUGUUUUUUCUUUUCUCCCCGUGUAGCUUCUUCUGUCUCUUUCCUCGCCGCUCGACCCCCUUGUCAUUUCGAACAUGUAAUCCGGAACAGAGGCGAGUGAGAGAGAUCGCCAUGGCGAUUUGGAGCUGCCCCUCGCCUGAUUGGUUUUGUUAAAAGCCUAAUCUGUCGAUUUUGUUCGUCUGAUUUGGUAUGUUCCAUCCCUUUGUUUGUUCCUCAGAUCUGCUUGUUAGUGCUUAGGGUUUUCUCGGUCAGAUCCGUUGCUUGUGUUAAUCUCCCACAUCCUCUGCUGUAGAUGUGUGAGGUUGCGUCGUUUCUGGGAUUGAAACUCGUCUGCCAUGCGAAUUUGAUUAGGCUUUUUGUUUACUUGUUAGUUUGAUUGAUCUGUAUGUGUGUCACGCCUUCACCUGCGUCGGCUAUGAUUAAUCUGUAUGUGUGUCACGCCUUCACCUGCGUCGGCGCCGGUGGACAACGAGUCGCCUGAACUUGAUGAUCCAGACGAUGGCGCAGAACACAACAGUCAGACAUGGUUGCAGAGGGUGAAGCCUCGAGUAGGUGUGGUGGGCUGACUGGUGUGCCCACGUGACAGGGUGUGUGUGCUCUGUAUAUUAGCUGGACAUGCGUGAGUUAAGUCUGAACCGUCUCUCCUGUUCUCUGAACCUCUCCCAACUCUCCUCUCCAUAUCCUAUCCUCCCCAAAUCCCUCUUGUAUUUUGUGAGAUCUAUCAUGAGAUGGGGCAUGACAUUGUGGUUACUUGUUUGAAUUCGGCUGGUUGUUUGGUUGAUCUGUAUGCGAUAUUGUGCAAUCUGAACAUAGUGGAUCGUGUUCAGUCCCCUGCUCUCAAGUGUUGUUAGUUAGUGUAUCUAUGUGUUAAUUUUCCCCUGGGCCGUUUUUUGUUGUCACUGUGUGGAUGUAUGGUUGGUCCCCUGGUUGCCUUGGGAUUGUCUCUGUAAUUCUCAUCGGAUUUACAGUGUAAUUCCUAUUGGAUUUGCAGUGUAAUUCCUGUUUGGUUUUGCAGUGUAAUUCCUAGUGGACUUACACUGUACCUCUCGCUGGGUUUACAAUGUAUUUCAUCGGAUUUAUACUGUAUUUGUCAUUGGAUUUACAGUUGGUUUAGAAUGUAAUUCAUUUUGGCUUUCGGUGUAAUUCCUACUGGGUUUAGAGUGUAAUUCCUAGUGGAUUUGCAUUUUGUAAUUCCCAUUUUUAGCGUGUAAGUGUUGAUGCUAGUUUGCCGUUGAAUUUCGCGUCCUUCGAGUCCAUAGCUUGAUGUAGGUUGGUCCUGCUGUAGCUCUUGAUUUUCUAAGGUUUGGAUUUUAGAUUUUAGGAACUAGAGUUUUCGGUUUACUGUCAUGAUUAUCAUUAUUUUUCUCCACAGUUUUAGUGGAUUUACACUGUAAAUCUUUAUUGGCUUUGCACUGUACUUCUUCGUGCAUUUGCACUGUAAAUGUUUGUGCUUUUGCAAUGUUAAUCUUAGUAUUUUGCAGUGUAAUUAUGACUUGUUUUGCGCUGUAAUUAUAACUGCAUUUUUGUUUGCUAGACACAAUAAUUGUUUUGUCCCAAUUUCCGUAAGUUGGGCAGUUCAGAAGUAAUUUACAGUGCUAACAAUUUAUAAUUUACAGUGGAUCUUCAGUUUCACUUCACCAUUACAGUGCUUUGAAUUCUAGUUCUUAGUUCUUAGUUUAUAGUUCCUAGUGGGUUUUACAUUGUACUCCCUCCGUCCGAAAAUACUUGUCAAGGAAAUCUUGACAAGUAUUUUCGGACGGAGGGAGUAAUUCUUAGUGGAUUUCUACUUAAAUUUUAUCGGUAUUACACUGUAAUUCUUUGCAAUCUUACAAUAAUCUUAGUGUAUAUGUUUGUUGGUUUAUAAUGUAAUCUUAGUGGAUUUAUGUAAUCUUUCUGUUUUUUCGCUGUAAACAUUAGUGGAUUUACACUGUAUUCUUGUGUAUGGCUUUGCAAAUCAAACCCAAGAGGCUUUCUUUUAGUGAAUUACUUGAAAUAAUUCUGUAUUUCGUAGUGGUUUGUCACUGUAAUUUGUAUCUCUUAUCAGUGUAAUUAUAUCGGCAUUCGUAGUGGUUUUCUGUCUGGCUCGAAGAAAUUUGAGUGCAGGUGCAUACAUACGAACCAAAUGCUAAAGAAGGGAGCAUCAAGGGGCAUGCAUUGUACCUGAAUGACGAUGAAGCAGAUUUUGUUAACGUAUGGCUUUUUAAUAGCAGAAAACAUUCCUGAAAAUAAAUAACAUUAUCAAAUAUGCUUUCUCUAACUAGUUUCUUGACAAAUUACAGAGCAGCGCAUACUCUUUUACCAAGCUACUACAUGCGCAAAUGAUGUAGAAGAUAUAAAUGCAUUGCAUAAAUCUCAUAUGCAUCAGCUAAUGAAGAAAGCAUGUUCUAUUAUGCAUUAGCUCAUGAACUAGCAUUGUUCUAUUAUGUGCAGCAACAGCAUGUGGAGCCUACGCCUGAUAUGCCAAACUACAUGGAAUGGCAGAGCACUGUUCAGGUCAUGUCUGGUGUGUUAGGAAGUAGUUUCAGUGCAAUUAUUUUUUAGUGCAGUGAAUUUUAUGGAUUACAGUGGAAUUAAUAGCUAAUGGAAUUUCGAAGUUUGAUUUAAACUGUAAUUCCUACUAAUUUUGAGUGUAAUUAUCAGUUGAUUUUCCUCUGUAAUGCUUAUUUUUGGAAUUUGAGUUUUCUUUUAGUGGAAUUACAGUGUAAUUGUUAGUGGAAUUGAAGGUGCAUAAGUUACACUGUAAUUCUGAAUUUUUUUCACUGUAAUCCGUGAUGAUUUACAGUGUAAUUAUUGAUUUUGCUCUGUAUUACCCAGUGGAAUUACACUGUACUUUAAUUGGUUUUACACAGUAAAUCUUAGUGGAUCUACACAGUAAAUCUUUGGAUUUUUACUGUACUUAUAGUUUAGUUUUACACAGUAAAUCUUAGUGGAUUUUGACUGUACUUUUAGUUUCUUUUUACAUAGUAAAUCUUAGUGGAUUUUGACUGUACUUUUAGUUUCUUUUUACAUAGUAAAUCUUAGUGGAUUACACAGUAAAUCUAAGUGGAUUUACACUGUAUUUUCUUAGUGAAAUUGAAGUCCUUUAUUUAGUGGAUUUUUUAC